GACGAACGCUGGCGGCGUGCUUAACACAUGCAAGUCGAACGGAAAGGCCUCUUUCGGGGGGUACUCGAGUGGCGAACGGGUGAGUAACACGUGAGUAACCUGCCCUUGACUUUGGGAUAACUUCAGGAAACUGGGGCUAAUACCGGAUAGGAGCUCCUGCUGCAUGGUGGGGGUUGGAAAGUUUCGGCGGUUGGGGAUGGACUCGCGGCUUAUCAGCUUGUUGGUGGGGUAGUGGCUUACCAAGGCUUUGACGGGUAGCCGGCCUGAGAGGGUGACCGGCCACAUUGGGACUGAGAUACGGCCCAGACUCCUACGGGAGGCAGCGGUGGGGAAGAUUGCACAAUGGGUGGAAGCCUGAUGCAGCGACGCCGUGUGCGGGAUGACGGCCUUCGGGUUGUAAACCGCUUUCGCUCAUGACGAAGCUUUGUGUGACGGUAGUGGGUAAAGAAGCACCGGCUAACUACGUG
rnacentral:rRNA from 1 species